rnacentral:rRNA from 1 species
AUGUGGAGGGUUUCCUGCUAUUCGUCAGGACCGUUUGACCUUGUUUCUCCAGAAACGUUGUGGGAGAGUCUCAGACCAGCUAUCUCGUACCUUCAACCUGAAGAGUUGAACUUCGUACAUGACGCUUUAGAGUUAGCAUAUGAAGCACAUAAUGGGCAGAAACGCCGGAGUGGGGAACCUUUCAUCAUUCAUCCUGUUGAAGUUGCUCGUAUUCUUGGGGAGCACGAACUUGACUGGGAAUCAAUCGCUGCUGGUUUAUUGCAUGACACUGUUGAAGAUACUGACAUGGUUACUUUUGAAACAAUCCAAAAUGAGUUUGGGGCAACAGUAAGUCGUAUUGUUGAAGGGGAAACAAAGGUGUCUAAGCUAGGGAAACUUCAAUGCAAAAAUGAGGGUAGUUCAAAACAAGAUGUCAAAGCUGAAGACUUAAGACAGAUGUUUCUUGCAAUGACAGAAGAGGUUCGUGUAAUCAUUGUGAAACUGGCAGACAGGUUGCAUAACAUGCGUACUCUUACACAUAUGCCUCAGCACAAGCAGUAUGCUAUCGCCAUGGAGACGCUGCAGGUUUUUGCACCCCUAGCAAAACUUCUCGGGAUGUAUCAAAUAAAGUCUGAGUUAGAGUAUCUGUCCUUCAUGUACAUGAAUCCUGGUGAUUUCGCUGAACUAAGGAAAAGAGUUGAUGAUAUCUUCAAAGCCCAUGAACAAGAAUUGGAAGAGGCAAAUAAAAUCCUAAAGCAAAAAAUUGCUGAGGAUCAAUUUCUUGAUCUUGUGAGUGUUGAAACAGAAGUGCGCUCAGUGUGUAAAGAACUUUACAGCAUUUAUAAAACCGCUCUCAAAUCCAAGAGUUCAUUAAAUGAGGUAAAUCAGGUUGCUCAGCUGCGGAUCAUCAUAAAACCAAAAUCCUGCAAUGGUGUUGGGCCACUGUUUACCGCACAACAGAUCUGCUACCAUGUCCUUGGUCUUGUUCAUGGCAUAUGGACACCUAUACCUCAAGCUGUUAAAGAUUAUAUUGCAACUCCAAAGCCUAAUGGCUAUCAAAGUCUACAUACUACAGUGAUACCGUUUCUUAAUGAGAGUAUGUUCCAUUUGGAAGUUCAGAUAAGAACAGAGGAUAUGGAUCUGAUAGCAGAAAGAGGCAUUGCUGCACACUACAGUGGAAGAGGGGUGGUUUCAGGACCUGUUUGUCCUGGAAUAUCUAGUGGAAGAAAUUUAGAUGGGAAAGUGAUCUGUCUUAACAAUACAGGCUUUGCUCUGAGGAUUGGUUGGCUGAAUGCAAUCCGUGAAUGGCAAGAAGAGUUUGUUGGUAACAUGAGCUCUAGGGAAUUUGUGGAUACUAUUACCAGAGAUCUUCUGGGAAGCCGUGUCUUCGUGUUUACACCUAAAGGCGAGAUUAAAAACCUGCCUAAAGGGGCCACUGUGAUUGAUUAUGCAUAUCUGAUCCAUACAGAAAUCGGCAAUAAAAUGGUAGCAGCAAAGGUGAAUGGUAAUCUAGUUUCACCAAUCCAUGCACUUGCGAACGCUGAAGUAGUGGAGAUAAUAACUUACGAUNNNNNNUCCAGUAAAUAUGCAUUCCAGCGUCAUCAGCAGUGGCUGCAACAUGCCAAAACCCGCAGUGCUAGGCACAAAAUUAUGAAAUUCUUAAGGGAGCAAGCUGCUCUUUCUGCUGCUGAAAUAACGGCGGAUGCAGUUAAUAACUUUGUCGCUGAUCUUGAAGAUGAAAGUGACAGUGAGCAGUUAAUUCCAACCACACAAAACGAUGACCAUAAAUUCAAUUGGCAGAAGAUAUUAAGUUCCAACAAGUUAUCCUUUGUGAAUAAAAAUAGCGAUGGCUUUUUACCAGUUAACAACGUUCACACGCCAAAGAUUAACGGGAAGCACAACAAAACUGUCAAGGAACUAGGCAUCAAAAUUAAUGGUUCAACAGUUCGAGGUGAUAGCUCCACUGACUUCAUGCGCCCUGGCGUCCCAGCCUAUAAGGAAGUUUUUGCUAGUUUGGAUAAUUGGAAAUGCGGUAAAAUUUCCUCUUGGCACAAUACAGAAGGCAACUCUAUCCAAUGGCUUUGCAUAGUGUGUGUUGAUCGAAAAGGGAUGAUGGCUGAAGUCACUUCGGCUUUGACAGCUUGCGGAAUCACCAUAUGUUCCUGUGUGGCAGAGAGAGAUAACAGAAGAGGAAUGGGUGUGCUGCUUUUCCAUUUUGAGGGAACUGAUGAGAAUGUGGUGAGCGCAUGCUCCAGUGUUGAGAUGAUUCUUGGCGUUCUUGGUUGGUCUGCUGUCAAUUAA